UCGCUACCGCUGUGGCUCCCACUACAACAGCUUAGUUGACAGCGGAACAGCGGGACAUUCACUGGUUACUGUCGCUUGCCCACAGGUGUGACACUCAGGGUGGCAGCCUCUGCGUCUGUCCUGGUGUCGGCGCCCACCUCAAACACCGGCGUCUGGGGCGUCUGGGGCACGGGCUCCAGGUCCAUCAACUCGUCCUGGGCGUCCGUCCACUCGGACAGGGUGAAGGAGGGCUGGCGGCUCACAGACUGCCGUCUGUCCCCCUGAUCCACCACCACAGGAGACAGCCAGGGUGCGCCGGAGCACAGGGAGUGGACCAAGCUGCUCAUCUAUGGACCGAGCCACGUCAGGUGGAACGGAGAGACAAUGAAAACCUGUUUUGAGGAUCUGCUUUGUUCAUGUGUGUUUGUUAUAAAGCGUAGAAUGUUGAAUCAUCUUAAGCCCAACUCUGCUCCGAACAGAAAUGUUUAAGUAUGUUCAACAACAUACAUACUGGUGUUUGGGGGUGGUUAUGUGUCAGCUUCAAGUCAAUUCCAAAGUUGAGCCUUUUCUGACAUUUCACCAAGCAAUGACUUUGAAUUAAACACUGAUUCUAACUCAGGAUCAAUCAAUCAAUAAAACAUUGGCAGUGCGCUGCAGUUUGGUUCCACCGUCACCUUAAUGAAGCAGCUGGUGUGUGUGUGGUCUUCCCCAGGCGCUGUCUUACCAUGAACACAAAGAGGGCCAGCCCAACUCCUACGGUGGCCUGUAGGACCCAAUAGUUCUUGGUCUUUCCAACCUCCACCAUCAGAUUCAUGGAUUGCUACGAAAACACACAGACACCAUGUCCACUAUUCUGUACUUCCUCCACAAACACUUUUACAUGCAAGAAAAAAGUCUGUUGCAAAUAUAUAUUUUUAACCAAUAUAGGUCAAAUGAAGAAAGGUUGUAUAAAUCCAGUUUCAGACAGGAGAUGUACAACCAUUUUUUUGUUCCACCCAUGCACUAGGCAAGCUGAUUCUAAUCAAGCAGAACUUCUAAUCAACACAGCUCUCAGAGCAGAUCUGUCUCAUGAGCCGCUUCAAGCCCUGGAUCAGCAGGGCAGCGCU